rnacentral:lncRNA from 1 species
CACUGUAUAUUUUAAUACUGAUAUAAUCUCCAUUGUGCUGGUUCAGCCUGUGGCCUGCAGCUGGAGUACGGCUCGCUGUAUUUUGUGGGAGGAGAUCGAGGGGAGUGGCAGACCGUGUCUGUAGAACUUUAUAAGAACCAAGCUGAUGAUAAUCACAACUAUCUUCAGGUCAGCAUGUCCAUUAACCCGUUUAACGCCCUGGUGUCCCUGGUCCUGCCCAGUGCGCUGAUCAUGCUGGCUGAUCUGGUGAGUUUCGCUCUGCCGCUGGAAGGAGGAAGGCGCAGCUCCUUUAAAAUCACGCUGGUGCUGAGCUUCACCAUGUUCCUCCUCAUCCUCACCAACCACCUGCCCAGCGGCGAACACUGCAACCCUCUGAUACGUUAUCACUUCUGUUUCUGUCUGUUCGUGCUGGUGCUCAGUAUGCUGAUGUCGAUGGUGUUCACAAAGCUGGCAGCAGAUGGCACCAUCAACCCAUUCAAACUCCAAAAGAUGCCCAGAUCAGGCAGGUUUAAAUAAAUCAGAAACAGAUCAGAAAUAAUAAAAAACACACAAUAACACA